GUGGAGGUCCAUCCUGAUAGGGCCUUUCCUAUAGCCACACAUUGCUGUAAAUACCUGAUAGAGUAACUAUGGUUUUACUUUACUCACAGAACUAUUUGUUAGAUCUAUGAGAAAGAACUAAAGGAUAGUU
rnacentral:snoRNA from 17 species